rnacentral:lncRNA from 12 species
AUCCCUGUGUUGUCUUUUAUACGAGUAAGUAAUAAUAACAGCACUAUGCCUUCCACCUGCAGGUUUCAACCCCCACUAUACAAUGCAUUGAGGAAAAAUGAACCUUGCUUCUUUCUUUGAAGGAGGGGAGAAGGUCCCUCUUCAACAUCACCUGCCAUAUAAAGGCACAUGCAAGGGUUUUUUUGCAAAACAUUGCUUGAUCAGCAGCGAGGAAAUUGCUCCCUAUCAAAACCAGAGUGUUACUAUAUGGCAACAACCUCACCAGAUGGGUUUACCUG